rnacentral:rRNA from 1 species
CCAGACUCCUACGGGAGGCAGCAGUGAGGAAUAUUGGUCAAUGGGCGAGAGCCUGAACCAGCCAAGUCGCGUGAAGGAUGAAGGAUCUAUGGUUUGUAAACUUCUUUUAUAUGGGAAUAAAGUGAGGAACGUGUUCCUUUUUGUAUGUACCAUAUGAAUAAGCAUCGGCUAACUCCGUGCCAGCAGCCGCGGUAAUACGGAGGAUGCGAGCGUUAUCCGGAUUUAUUGGGUUUAAAGGGUGCGUAGGUGGUUAAUUAAGUCAGCGGUGAAAGUUUGUGGCUCAACCAUAAAAUUGCCGUUGAAACUGGUUGACUUGAGUAUAUUUGAGGUAGGCGGAAUGCGUGGUGUAGCGGUGAAAUGCAUAGAUAUCACGCAGAACUCCGAUUGCGAAGGCAGCAUACCGGCGCCCUACUGACGCUGAGGCACGAAAGCGUGGGUAUCGAACAGGAUUAGAUACCCGAGUA